CAAAGGAAUUGACGGGGCCGCACAAGCGAGGAGCAUGUGUUAAUUCGAUGAUACGCGAGGAACCCUACCUGGGCUCGAACGUAAGAUGACUGUAGGUGAAAGCUUACAUCUCUUCGGAGCAUUUUACGAGGUGCUGCAUGGUUGUCGUCAGCUCGUGCCGUGAGGUGUCGGGUUUAAGUCCCAUAACGAGCGCAACCCCUACCUUUAGUUGCCAUCAGGUUAAGCUGGGGACUCUAAAGGAACUGCCUACGCAAGUAGUGAGGAAGCGGGGAUGACGUCAAAUCAGCACGGCCCUUACGUCCAGGGCUACACACGUGCUACAAUGGCCGAUACAGAGGGCAGCUACCUGGUGACAGGAUGCAAAUCUCCAAAGUCGGUCUCAGUUCGGAUCGGAGUCUGCAACCCGACUCCGUGAAGUUGGAUUCGCUAGUAAUCGCGCAUCAGCCAUGGCGCGGUGAAUACGUUCCCGGGCCUU
rnacentral:rRNA from 1 species